rnacentral:rRNA from 1 species
UACGUAGGGUGCAAGCGUUGUCCGGAAUUACUGGGCGUAAAGCGUGCGCAGGCGGUUUUGUAAGACAGGCGUGAAAUCCCCGAGCUUAACUUGGGAAUGGCGCUUGUGACUGCAAGGCUAGAGUAUGUCAGAGGGGGGUAGAAUUCCACGUGUAGCAGUGAAAUGCGUAGAGAUGUGGAGGAAUACCGAUGGCGAAGGCAGCCCCCUGGGACGUCACUGACGCUCAUGCACGAAAGCGUGGGGAGCAAACAGG